rnacentral:rRNA from 1 species
UACGUAGGGCGCAAGCGUUGUCCGGAAUUAUUGGGCGUAAAGAGCUCGUAGGCGGCCUGUCGCGUCGGAUGUGAAAGCCCGGGGCUUAACCCCGGGUCUGCAUUCGAUACGGGCAGGCUAGAGUUCGGUAGGGGAGAUCGGAAUUCCUGGUGUAGCGGUGAAAUGCGCAGAUAUCAGGAGGAACACCGGUGGCGAAGGCGGAUCUCUGGGCCGAUACUGACGCUGAGGAGCGAAAGCGUGGGGAGCGAACAGG